rnacentral:rRNA from 1 species
UUAUCUUGAAAGCGUCUGCUUCGGCGGGCGGCCCCAGGGCGGGGCCGCUGCCUGCGCCUCCCGGCGCGGGCGCCCGCCGGAGACGACCCAAACUCGUAUUAUGUAGUACCACUCUGAGCCUAAAGACAAAUAGUCAAAACUUUCAACAACGGAUCUCUUGGUUCUGGCAUCGAUGAAGAACGCAGCGAAAUGCGAUAAGUAAUGUGAAUUGCAGAAUUCAGUGAAUCAUCGAAUCUUUGAACGCACAUUGCGCCCGCCAGCAUUCUGGCGGGCAUGCCUGUUCGAGCGUCAUUUCGACCCUCAAGCCCCUGCGGCUUGGUGUUGGGGUGUCUGCGGCGCUGCCGCAGGCCCCGAAAUUCAGUGGCGGUCCCGACGAGACCCUAAGCGCAGUACUACUCUCGCUUCUGGCGUCGCGGCGGGCCACCGGCCGUAAAACCCACGGGCGCCCCCGGGCCCCGUACAUUUCAAGGUUGACCUCGGAUCAGGUAGGAAUACCCGCUGAACUUAA